rnacentral:rRNA from 1 species
UCAACGUAUUAGGCUUCGGGGGAUACUGCCAGACUUGGAACCGGGAGAGGUAAGAGGUACUACAGGGUAGGAGUGAAAUCUUGUAAUCCCUGUGGGACCACCUGUGGCGAAGGCGUCUUACCAGAACGGGUUCGACGGUGAGGGACGAAAGCUGGGGGCACGAACCGGAUUAGAUACCCGGGUAGUCCCAGCCGUAAACGAUGCUCGCUAGGUGUCAGGCAUGGCGCGACCGUGUCUGGUGCCGCAGGGAAGCCGUGAAGCGAGCCACCUGGGAAGUACGGCCGCAAGGCUGAAACUUAAAGGAAUUGCGGGGGAGCACAACAACGGGUGGAAGCCUGCGGUUUAAUUGGACUCAACGCCGGACAACUCACCGGGGGCGACAGCAAUAUGUAGGCCAAGCUGAAGACUUUGCCUGAAUCGCUGAGUAGUGGUGCAUGG